UUUCUUAGUUUUUAAAAAAAUACAGACAUAGACUAGUUUUUACUUUGUAGAUUUUAAAAUAAAAUAAAGUGCAAAUGCAAAGGCCAUUUUUAUAUGGAGAUCUCACAAAUAAGCAUUAUUUGUCUUGUGACUCAAAUGACUACUAAUAAAGCUACAAAUAGCGUUUACUAGGGGGAAAAUAGUGAUCUUCAACUGUUUACCACUUAGUCAACAAAUAUUUGUUAAACAAGGAACUUCUCACUAAAGAAGAUUCACAAGGUGAAAAAUGAGGAGCACAUUGUAAGAGUGAAUUACUCAGAGAAAAAAAGGGAAAGUAUGAACACACACAAACAUGAGAGAAAACACCUGCUUGUCUAUGAACAUUUGACUUAAUACAGUUCCCAGAAAUGUUACAAUGAAAUAGCUGUUAACAAAAAAAUCAGAUUCAAUUAAAUGACAUUACAGUUUCAAAGGUCAAGAGGUAAAAAUGCCUUUCUUCUCUUUUUACUUCUGAGAUUUCUCUUUUUCCAGAAUUCCCUAGUGAUGAAAUCAACAGAUGGAAUUAUUUCUUUUUAAGCUUAAAGAAAGGUCACCAAUAGCUUUUAACAGAUUACAAAUGAUUUGACACAUGAUUUCAAAAGUGGGGAAAAUUCUAUGGAGGCAGGAACACUUCAAGAAUUGAUGAAAAAAGAUUUCAUAACAGCGCAGACCAAAAUUAACAUGGCUAAAGUGGUUCUAUUUUAAUGAACUAGGUGCAAACCAUCUCAUAGUCCUCUGAAUCAAUUGUGACUGUUGUAUUAGACAAUUUUGAAAAUUCUUUAAUAUUUAAAUUUGAUGUUAUUGCUUAAUAGUGAAAGGUCUUUUGUUAUCUUAAGGUAAAACCUCCACUUUCAUACCCAGGCCCAGUCUGUGGUGUAAUUACAAAGGCAUUUGCCUGUCCAACAUUAUUUUCAUUAGACUCAACCAAAACAAUAUUCCCAUUCUAUGCUCCCUACCUGUGAUAGAGACCAUUUUUGUUGCUGUGAAUGUCAGGACUUUCCUUCAUAAAGAUGGAGUGAUCCUUAGAAAUGACUGGUGCCCAGUUUUCCUGAAAAUUUCUUAUGUUGGGAGAAGCUCUAGGAUAUCAAAGCUGUACUUAGAAAAGGGAGGUCAGAGGUUAAAAAAGAAGGUAUCUUAUUGCUUAAAGGAGAGAAACUUUGAGACCCCUUUAACCUUGCCAUGUGAAUCCUCAAAAUAAUACAAUAUUUUAAUUUUUAAUUUUUAUUUUAUAUCUUUUAUAAGUGAUUUCAAAGAGAUUGAAAGGGCUUGCUGGAACCACCAGAAGUCUUAAGCUCUCUUUAGUUAUUAAUCAAUGGAGGUCAGUGAGUUACAGCAAUAUGUAGUAAAUACAUUUAUCUCAGGAUCAUUAUUAAUAAGCCAGUGCCCUGUACUAGUAGUGGUUAGGAAGAAUUGCUUUAAUAGGGAUACAGUUACGCUUACCUCUUUCUUUCUCACCUCUGCCCAUGCUUAACCUGGUAGCUUAGGGUGUCACAAGCUUCCUCUCAAAGUUAAAAAGAAUUUGUUAAAUUAUUUUUCUGAAUAGUCUUAUAUAUGUUUCAUAAAUGUGUAACCUUAAUAAGUUUUAUAUAUGUUUCAUAAAUGUGUCACCUAUAUCAGUCUUGAUUUCCUCAUUGGUGAAAUGACGGAAAAAUUUCUUCCAACUCUAAAAAUCUUAUGAUCAGUGCAGAUUUUUUUGAUGAAUGAUGUGAUUCUAUGAUACUCAGGAGUCUGUGUUCACCACCCAUGCAUCCUUCCUCCCAAAAUUCUAAAAAAUAUGCUUCACCAAUAUAAGGAAUUAAUUAAAGAAAGAGGAAUACAGAGGAUCUAGGAUAUUGAUAAGUCAAUACAGGAAACACUAGGGAAAUCCAAAAGCGAACAUUGAACAAAAAUCAUAGACCAAUGUCUGUGUAGCAGGACUGCAGAGUAGCUAGUCCAGAUCAAAAUAAGAGGACAGAGGCCUUCAGAAAGGCUACUCUUAAUGAAAAGAUGAAUGGAACUUCUAACUUUUCUGUUGACUUUGACAUAUUGAAAAGAGUUUUAGAAUUCUUUAGAAGAAUUUAGGGGUGAAUUAGAGUUAGUACAUAGAAGAAUAAGCUUUGAAAAAUUAAGCUGUUAUUAACUCCAGGGAAAACAUAAGUUGUACAUGGAAGAUAAUAUAUACUACGUGAUUCUGCUAUAAACCAUAUUUAUAUCUUAAUAAUGAUGUUCCUUUUUAUUCAAUCAAAGAUUGUUAUAUUAAGAGAAUGGGUAGGAGUUCAGAGAAGGAGUUUAGAAUGUGUGUAUGCUGGGGGAAGGCAUUGGUCUGUGUAAGGAGCUAGAUCCUAAUUUUUAUAGACAAAAAUCAACAGAUAUUGUCUAAAAUAGUAAUAACAUUUUAUGCAUGCAACCUAGAAAUAUGGAAGUAAACUCCAGGAAAAACAAAACAAAUUAGAAGUGGGUUGCCUCUGGGAAGUGGGGCUCCACAGUAGGGGAGGGCAGAGUAGGGACAUUGUCCCUACUCUGAGUAGAGAUGGUAAUCCCCUGUAUUACUGUAGGCAGAGUAGGGACGGUAAGGUAAUCCCCUGUAUUACUCUACUGCUAUUUGAUUUCUCAAAAUAAGUAAAACAAACACUUCAAUAAAAGUUAACAUGUUUUUUAAAGAGUUGUCCCGUAUAUGUUCAGAGGGAAAGGCACCAUAAUUUCAACUAUUUCUACAGUAGAGUAAUCCCCUGUAUUACUGUACUGCUAUUUGAUUUCUCAAAAUAAGUAAAACAAACACUUUAAUAAAAAUUAACAUGGUUUUAAAAGAGUUGUCCCGUAUAUGUUCAGAGGGAAAGGUACCAUGAUUUCAACUAUUUCUACUGAGACAAAAUGAUUCACUUUUUUUCAGAGUGGUGCUUGUAUUUUUGUUGUUCUUUACAUUUGUAGAAAUGAGAUUGUCUAUACACUGAUAAAUAACAGGUCUUAUACAUCUAUCUCAACAUGGAUAGGAAAUCAGUCACCAAGAUUUGAGUAUUGAAGAUGGUACAUGGGCUGAUUUUCAGCAGUCACCCCUGACACAGUCCCCUCAUGCCACUUGCAACAUGUUCUGCUUUACCACUUGCUAAGAUUGCCAGAUAAAAUACAGGCUGCCUUGCUAAAUUUGAAUUUCAGAUAAAUAACAUUUUUUAAGUAUUUAAGUGUAUCCUAAAUAUUGCAUGGGAUAAACAGUUUAGUAUGGUAUUUUGUUCUCAAACUAAUUAUAUUAGAAUAAAAAAUUUGAAGGAUUUAACAAAUAUUGUUUGGUUCUGGACAUGAUUUGUUAAGUCAGUUUCAUCAACUGAUAUUUAUCUGGAUAGAGCACGUUUCUUUUUUUUUUCUUAGAUGCCAAUAAAGGACUUUCACUGCAGGUUUGAGGCAAAUUACACAAUGUGAGGGGUAAAGUGUACAACACAUAAAAUCCCCAGCAUCAAACAAACAAGGAAGACAAAAUACCAGCAUCACACAUUUCCUCUAAAUUCACAGUAAAAAAGCAAAUUAUGGAAAUGAUGCGGGAGGGAAUAAACACUGGCAUAUUUUCUUCUUCCUUAAAGAAAGUCACAUCAGUCAUUAAUAUUUAUUCCCCUGUGAAGUUCUUUGUUCUAAUUUCCAUUAUCCAAAGGGGAAGUUCUGUCCUUGAGGACACCUAAAAUGAUGCCAUUACACGGUGGCAUCAGCAGCAUUCUCAGCACUGGAGGCCAAGCAGGUCAUUCUCUGGACAAAGUUGUUGCUCCAUAAAUAGUGUAACAAUAGGAUCAUUUCAGCAUUACCAGGGCUCCUGCAAGGGUCCCCACGUGCCUUGUUCAGUGAGGUCCUGAGGUCAGUAGAGUCACAGCUGAAGAGGGCACGGGCACUUCUAAGUAGUAAGGCACAACAGUAUGGGAGAAGUUUCAAGCUGUGGAAGCUUUCUGCAGUUCACACAACACUUCAGAUGAACUAGGUAUAGUUUCCCAGAAGAAAUCAAAAGUUCAAUUCUGAUAGCUUUAUCUUGCUUAAGCAGUACUUUUCAGGGCUACUUCACCUCUUAAACUUCAAAAAGCUAAGGAGGAGAAAAAUGACCCUCGUUUCUAGGAUUUGAGAUUCCAACCUCUACUCACUUGGCGGAUGGAUACUGAAAACUGCUAGGUGUCAGGCUUUGCAUGCUUCCUGUCUCUGAGUUGGCCUGAUGGCUUCAGUAAGAGUAAGUUGGGAGCAGUAGCACAUACAUUUGCCUAACUUUAAAAUUUUCCUUUUUAAAAUAGUAGAUUCUACACAUUGCCUCUUUUAGCUAUUUUUACUUUAGAAAACCCAAAUACCUGAGACUUUAAGGAGUUUCAAAUGCCUGAUGAAGACAUAGUGGAGUGAUCCACAAAAUAAUCAAAAUGAAUAAAUAGCAUUAGGUAUUAAAAUCAAAUAAUCUAGUGACUCAAACUUCUGUGAUUAAUCUUGUGUCCAAACAGUUAAUGGAAGAAAUAACCUCCCACGGACCUUUUUGAAUCUGUAAUUCAGUGGUACUCCUAGUUUUAAUAAGAAGCAGAGGUUUAGUAAUGUACAGAUAAUCUUUAUCAGAAGCUAUGUUGAUACUUGAAAUAGAGAUUGACUAUUGAUAGACUUGCUUCAGUUGAUCCGGCAUCAGUGGUUGUUAGAAAAAUAGCCACACGUGUUACUUGGAUAGAAACAAGAAAAUUUCCAAUCCUGAAUGCUUUUGUAGGCUAAAAAUAAAAUAUAGAUCCAGAAUCACAAAAACAAAUAAAUCAACAAACAACCCCAAACUCCAUUUCAGGUGAAAUUAGAAAUCACAGACUUAAUGUAGAUGACCUUGUCUCAUAGUAACUGACAUUCUGGAGCACUCUAUAGUGCUACUUUUAGUUGAGCAGUUUGCUCAGACAAGGCUUUCUGGCAAUUUGCACAGGAAAACUGUACUAAAAAUUUCUCUGAACUGUAAAAUAUUUGUUUUAUGCAAAUGUUGAAGAAUCCUGAGACCAAAAGAAAGGGAGGGGGAGUAGAGAGAAGAAGAAAACAAAUGUAGAUGUCUUAAGUUCUGACCAUCAGACAGAUUUCCCAAUGGCUUCUUACAUCUUUUACUGCUGUAUUUUUAAAAUUACAAGGAAAGAAAAAAAAAUUGUUGAGCAUCUGAAUAUUAUUAAAACAGAAAGACCACACAAACAUUUAAAUGAUCCCUAAAUGGCAUUGUCUCCUUCAAUUCAUCAUUCUUUGGCAUGUUUUUGACCCCUUUGUUUUUAUUGUUAGGAGAAAAACAGGAGGAAAAACUUUUUUUUUAAAAGGAGGAAAAAUAAAGUUUUCUGUAUCAGACCUAUAAUCACCUUCUACAGUUACCCUGGCAUCUUUGCUAACAUUUUAAGACCAUGUACAUUUGUAGUGCUAAAACUAUUAAUUUGCAUAAUUUAAAGCCUUAUUUCAUGGAACUUUAAGAUUCUGGAAAGAACUUGCUUGUUUCUACCUCCUUUCUGUAGACUUUCUCUGAGCUUCCUAUCUUCUUGUAACCCCAACAACUGGCUUGACUAAUUUUCUAUGUUGAGAUCAGAAAAUAGUUUGCAGUUGAGUAAACACAAUCUGAAUCAUCUCAUGGGUGAGGUUUAAACAAUGGGAUGAGAAGGUUCAGCCAAUUGUGAGUUUUAUUUACACAUCUGAUAUUCAUGGGUUUAAGGAGCAGCAGCAGAACUGAACACUCACCUCUACCAGCAGGGGCAACAAAGGAGUUUCUCUUCUUACAGUAGCUUUGUAGGGUAUUGUUAGGCAUCUGGAGAAAAUGAUGAGAGAGUUUGACUGUUUUAGCAAGUAUGGAUUCAAGGGAAAUUAUUAUUUUAAAUUUUUGUAAAACUGAAACUUUGAGAUCUUUGUAUUAGAAAACCUUCAUCUAUAAAUUGACAUUGGUUAAAGAUCUUGGAACCCAAAAGGCUAUUCCUUAAGAAUGAGACCUAGUAAACCAAGAAUUCCUAACUGAUAAAUAAAUUGACAGCAAAAGAGAGGAAAAAAAAGGAAUGUGUAAACAUACUAUUCUAAACCUAAAAGCACAAAACUUUGUGCCUUAUUUCUCCUAAUUUUCAUUUUCCCCUUAAAGAAGAAAAAGCCAAGACAUAUUUUCUUUAAAUAUGUUUUUAUAACUAUUUAUUAGGUUGAAUAUUCUUCUACAUAAGCUUAACCCUGUUGCUGUUGCUAAAAAGCCAAGACAUAUUUUCUGUAAACAUGUUUUUACAACUAUUUAUUAGGUUGAAUAUUCUUGUACAUAAGCUUAACCCUGUUGCUGAUAGAAAUUUCAAAAAGUAAAGUAAAAGUUAUGAAAAAUAUAUCUUCUAAUCCUGUCUGCCUUCUAUGUGACCAGAGGGAAAAAAUGUACUUCCAAUGUUUCUUUAACUUUUGUUCAUUAAUCAAAUAUCUGUAUGACUGAAACAUGGGGCAUCACUAGCAGAGGUAGGAGAAUCUAUUCUUGAGACGGUUGCAAUUAUUGGCUUUGGAUACAGAGUAUUGACUUUAAAGUAAUGAUGUUGGCAUAUCUUUGUGGAAAUAUCCAGCAGAGAGAAAGAAAUUCCAAACUGGGUCUUGGGAUGUUCAUGACUGAAGAUACUGAUUUGGUGUCAUCCACCCUUCCAAGUGUAGAGGAGAGGAUAGAGAGAAGGAAAAGCAGAAGCUCAAGAUAUAAAGCAAGUAAAGCACCCACAGUCAUAGGUAGAAGAAAUGAAAAAACAGAAGAUGCAUGAUUUGAAACAGAGAACUGAGAAUUGUAGAAGCCAAGAGGAAAAUAUUUUAAAUAAUAAGGUGGGUUUCAAGAAUGGCAAACAGUGUAAAGAGGGCAAGAAGAACAAAGACUGAGAAAAA